UGACGUCCAGUAUAUAAAUAUAUACAACAUAGAACUUUGUUCAGCUUGUUAAUUUUUCAUCAUGGUGAUAAAUAAAAUAAUGUAGUCAUUUGGUAUGUGAUAAAUUUGCUCCGUUAACUCAAAUCAAUUACUCAUCAAACAUGUUUGUUCGCGCACUUAAUUGCGGCUGUCAAAUAUAGCGUGUUCUUAUAUGUAAUGUCUUAUUACAAUAACGAAAUCAAACAUCAAAACCAUCCAAGAUUUUUUUAUCAAAUUCACACAAAGGAACAUAAAUCUGCUGAUUUAGAUGUUUAUUGUAAUUUAAACCGAUUUUAAUACCGUGGGAAACAUAUCUAAAUAUGUAUAGAUGAAUGAUAUAAGAGACGUAUUUUUAGGUUUGUUUUCCGAAAAUCAUAAAAAGGUUUGUUUUCCGAAAAUCAUAAAACAGACAGUACAUAAACCACUUUAUGCAGAUCAUACGGACAUUAGCAAUAAACAUAUUCAAAUAGGGUUGAUCGUUUUUGUUGUUACAUUGUGUGUUCGAUCACAUUAAGGCUUGACUACUAUAUAAAUCCAUAUUUAUCAUUGAUGAAGAACUGAACAUUUUGUAUAAGAUUACAAGAUAACAAAAUGGCAGGCGAUGGCUUCCGUGAUAACCGAGGACGUUUUCUACCGAAUCAUAUGAACGCUAACGAUGCAUUACAACGUGACGUUGGUGAUAGGUAUCAAGUCUCAGUUGAUUAUUUGGGCAAACCUGAAAAAGCUAUAGCGCAGAUUAAAGAACCUAAUCCGCAUCAGUACGGUCCUGGGGUGAGCUCAGAUAGAUAUCCGAAGAAUGGAAACCCGCCUAAUCUUGUCACAGUGAACAAAAAGUAUAAAAAAUGAUACAUACUACUUAGUAACGCAUCUUAAAGUAAUAUACAGUUUAUUGAACAUAAGUUUUAUCUGACAUUAGGAAAGUACUUGAGUUUGGAAAGCGAAAAUUCUUUAUCAUUGUUCCUGAUUUAGUGUUUAUUGUUAAUCUAUAUACUGUGUUACUUUCAUGAUAAAUUAAUUUUUAGUUUUAAGUAUUACUAUAAAAUCAUAAUUAUUUUUUUUUUUGAUACCGAUGAUUAGUAUUCAAAAUGUUAUUAAUAAAUGUUUAACAUUUUAGCAAUUUGUGUCAUAGACUUGCACUUUUUCAUUAUCCCUCAUUUACACACUCAAUCAAACAGAGUCUGCAAUUUUUAUGUAAUUUUGCUGUUUUUAAUGAUUCUGAGGAACCACUUUGUUCCAAAUAUCCCAUAUUCAUUCUGUAGAAAUUUCAGAUAGUAAUAGUACGUAUCAUUUAUCUAUUCAUCUCAAAUUACAUGUUGACGUAAAAAACGCUGGUAAAGCACAGCAUACCUCUAUCAAAUUUGUAUGGAAAUUAUUAUUUCAGCCUGAUUAAGUUUGUAAAGGUCCAUACUACAACAUUCUGUCUAUUAGAAGAUUUACCAGCCCGCUCCCCUUAUUGAAUCACAUUCAUUUAUCAUUUGAAAACGAGUAUGUCUAAUUUAUAUAUUUUCUUAUAAAGAAAUGAUUUAAUAUACAAAAAGCAACAAUAAAAUAAAGAUAAUAAAAAAUAAAUAUAAUAAACAAAACUUAA